CACGAUUGAAGCCAAAUUUCUGCAAACAAAGUCUUUGAUUUUUGACGCUUUGAGUAGGUCGAAGAACUUCUGAACCUCCGGUGUAGGUGAAUCAUGAUGAUCUGGUGCCAGUUCAGGCUGCAGAUCCUCAAGCAUCUGGUCCAUCCUAUCAACAUCAUCUUCACCAUCAUCAACUUCUACUUCUGUUGCUCGUUCAACAUCUUCACCGUGGAGAUACCAGACCUUAUAGUCUGGCACGAAACCAUGUGAGCAAAGGUGUAGUGUGACCUGCCUCUUGGUGUGGCUCGUCAUAUUUCUACAUUUAUUGCAUGGACACCUAAUAUUAUCUAUUUGUGACAAAGUAGUUGCAUGGUCCAGAAACAUUUGCGUCUUGGCAAACCAUUCACUAGUGUGACACCCACCCUUCUUGAAACCUUCAUACAUCCAAUCACGUCUAUCACCCAUUAUUGCGGCUGUGUACGAGUAAAGAGUGUGUGUGAGACAAUCACGUUUCUACACGUCACACAUACAUCUAUAGGUAAGUAGUAAAACUAUAUAUAUACAUAAAUAAUUAUAUAUACACAUAAAUAACAUCAAUUUUAUCAAUAUCGAAACCUUCAUACAUCCUAAUAUCUCUACUACUUAUUAAGAAGGUAAGAGUAGUCUGCCUCCCCUCGUUCUACCUCCCUUCGUUCUGCCACUCCCUCGUUCUGCCUUCUCUGACCGACAGGUGGGCCACCUAUGUCGGCGCGCGUCUCUUCUAUGUCUCCUUCACGUGACGCAGACACACAACAACUGCUCCCUCUUCAUCUCCGCACCCUCUGUCCAUUCCUUCCACACCCCAUGGUAACGUACCAAACCCCACUCCGUUUCCGCUGCUCCUCCCCUUGUGCGGCAUCGUCGCCACCAAGGCCAUCGGCGGCUUAGCCAAAGACCGUUGCGGCCCCGACUCCACCGUAGCCCACCACCCGACAACCGCUGCGACCUACACGGACCAAACCCGCCGUCGCGACCUCCUCCCUUCCUCCGUCUCUGCGCUGGGCCUCCUCCCUUCCCCCAUCUCUGCACUCGGCGCCCUCACCGCCUCUCCCUCCACCUCUACUCCACCUCCCCAGCCGCCCACAACCACAGCGGCGGCAGACGCGGCCCCUGGCCUCGGCGUCGACGGGCGCGACUCCUGGGCCACAGCGGCGGUGGACGUGGCCCCUGGCCUCGGUGUCGACGGGUGCUGUAACACCCCAGGUGUUACUCAGGGUGUCCACCCAGGGCUACACCAUUUAAACCUACUAUUUCAUGUGGGUUAGUUUGAGCAAAGUACAUCAAACUUAGGAUUCAAGGUCCUAAGCAUGUGCAACCCAUCUUGGAUAUCAUGCCCUAACUUAUCAUGCACAUCUAAAGGGGAGAAUUUCCCAAAACCUUAAUACCAACCCCUUUGGACAAUGGGAACCCUAGAUGUAAGUAUGACCAAAAGGUCAUGAAAACCUUUUGAUCAUGGCUUGGGCCAAGUAUAAAAGUUGUAGUACACUUAAUAACCUACAAAUAAUAGUAAGAAAGUAACCCCAAAAAGAUUUCAGAAAAGCCCCAAAAAGUUCACCAAAGGUUUGAGCACAAAAGAAAAAUCAGAAAAUGCCUAAGUCCAAAACUAACCUUUGCCCAAAGAUCACACAUGUUCACCCUCAUCCAAAAUUCAAAACACUUCGACCCAAUUGACAAAGUGGCGCCAAAUUACCCCUAGAAUGCCCUGGAGGAAGUUGACACCUACCCUAAGUCGUUUGACAUGACUUGGCAUAGCUUUUGUCCCGGUUUGGACAGCUAUGACAUAGGCAACUUCUCACCCCUCUAUCUCCCUACCCCGACCGUAUCUUGACUUGGAACUCACAGCAAAAAGGUAGGAUAUGGAGCAGGGAAGAGAUCGUACACAGUGGUUUUGCCAAGAUACGCACGCUAAGGUGCUCAAAUCCGCCGUUGAACCAUGGUAGAAGCGAGCUCCCACGUGUUCGACGCGGGCUGACACUCGGGGGCGCGCUCAGAGCACGCCCGUGCGCGAACCCCCGUGCGCCCGUGGCCGCCCGUGACCACGCCCGCGCCACGGCUAUAAAGCCCGUCCCAGUGCCCGGCUGCCUUCCCCGUUGCCUCCUCCGUACCACGCCUAACUCCCCCGAGCUCGCCCAUAGCUCCGGCGACCUCCCCUCGACCCGCCAGAGCCGCCCGAGGGCAACCACCGUGGCCAACCCCUUUCCCACCCUCCUCCGCUCGGUCCAAGCCCUCGGAUAGCUUCCCUGAGAGGCCGUGAAGCUUGCACGAGCUUGAACCGAGGACCUGCGCCACCGGAAUAGCGAAAUCGUGCUCGCCGGAGUUCAGAACCCCGCCGGCGCACGUGGACCUGGUAAGUCACUGCGCCAUUUUUCGAUUCAAUGCACAGAUAGCCUCUACAUCACCCCAUGAAGCUCACCAUGCAAUUGGAUUGAACUAGAUCGCCGUGGUUUGACCGGAACACUCGCCGCCGACGAGAGCCCCCGCCUGCGCACGUGGACCGGACGAUUCCGGUCACCCCCGCCGUCAAGCCGUACACCGUUGUGACCGUCAGAACCUCCCGGAGCCAAUCCCGCCCCUCGCCGGACCUCUCUCGCCACCGGUAAGCCGCGCCACCCUUUUCUUUCUCGCGGGUACUGUUUAAACCUAGGGAGGGACCGCGGGGGAGAAGAAAAGAAAGCUAGGGGGUUUUGCGCAUUGUCAGUGACUCAGAUAAAUAGUAGCGCGGGGGUAUAACUGAGAGAGUUAGUUUGGAAAUAACCCAAGGACCUCGGUGCAAAGUGGUUUUCCAGGAAACCUUUUAUUAAAUCUGAUUUAAAAUUUGAACAGAACUUGAAUAAUUCAUAUCUUCUGUUUUAUUCAUCCAAAUUUAGUCAAACCAAUUUUGUCAGAUCUUAAAUAAUAUAAACUACUUAAGAAAAAUAUAAAACCCCUAUGUACUACAGAAACCUUUAGGGUUCUGAUUUAAAUACUGAUUUGACCAAAAGCUAAAUAAUGGGAAGAAAAAUAGUUUCACUUUUUAACUAGAGUUAAGAAAAUUUGGAGAAGUUUAUGACUACCUACUGACCUAUUUAAAAAUGUUAAACCCCUCUGUACAACCCAUUAAGGUAGAGUUUGCCAUUUAUUUUACAUUAUGCUUAAGGUUAAAGAAAAUAGGAAAAGUGAUUUAAAUAAAGAACCAGGGAGCCCCCAUAUUUUUGUUAGUAUACUUAUUCAGUGUAGGUUACUAGAAACAUUGAUUAUACCCUGGUUUAGUAUAAAAUAAAUAGGAUACCUUUUAUUUUAAAAAAACAAGGAAAACUUAGAAAAGCCCUACAAAAAUAACCCCAAGGUAAAAACACCCCAACCUUUGGGAUAGUAAAUCUUUUGUUAUAAAGAAUAUAGGAAAAAUAUGAAAUCUGCUGUUUGACAUUUUUCAAAUAGCAAGGUAGUGGAAAGUGCUUUUUUGGCAUUAAACUUUAGAAAAUCACAACUCAAUAACCAUCCCUUAGCUUUCUGUGAUUUUUGGCACAUAAGCUUAUUAUUACUGUGAGAUGCCAACAAAAAUAACCCUUAGGACAGAACCCACUCCUAGUUGAGAGUUGUAGUGCAAAGUGGCCCUUUUACACAACUUUUUGAUUAUUUUUGUCUAAAGCAUAGCCUUUUUAUUUUGAACCUCAACUUCCUAGGAUGGGCUAUAGUGACCAAUGGCAACCCACUGUAAUUUUUACAAAAUUUUUGGAAAAAGUUAAACCAAUGUUGUAGUUCAAACCUCCACUAGAAUUCAUAAAUAGAAAAUAAAGAAAGGAAAAUGAAUAAUGGAAAUUAGUGUCAUCCUAAAACCCUUUGUAAAAUGUCCACUGAAAUAUAUAAAGGAAAUACCAAUCCACUAUGCCUAUCUCUAACAAAACCUAAACCUAGAGUGAUAAGCACAAACCACUAAAAGCCACGUAUGACCAAGAAACCCUAAGUUACUCAUUAACUUAGUUUUUCUUCCUUUAGCAUAAUGUUAUUAAAUCCUGCAUAAUCAUGACAUACAUAUUCAUUGCAUUUCGAUAGACUGUAACCUCGCUGACGGAGAGUACGUCCUCGUGCCGGAGCAAGAAGCUGCUCAGGAG
rnacentral:lncRNA from 1 species